GUUUUGACCACAAUUUGACUAAUUACGAACAAAACCUUACUAUGGUCAUUUGGAUGGGGUUAGUACAGUUACUGUACUACAGUAGUCUUUACAUUUGGAGAAGAGAAAACGAUGAGGUAGCGUUGCCUGUGACACUUUCAUACAUGGUCCUCAAAUUCGAAAGCUGAUGGCUCAGGUCUUCAAUUCGAGUGUCCUUGAUGUGGACCAAUUUCUGGAGCCGGUCAAUCUUUGAUGUAGUUCACAUACAAUAUUAUUAUCUUAUCCAGUUAAUAAAAAUAACUAACUGAUUA